UACGGAGGGUGCAAGCGUUAUCCGGAUUUACUGGGUUUAAAGGGUGCGUAGGCGGGUCUGUAAGUCCGUGGUGAAAUCUCCGGGCUUAACCCGGAAACUGCCAUUGAUACUAUAGAUCUUGAAUAUCCUGGAGGUGAGCGGAAUAUGUCAUGUAGCGGUGAAAUGCUUAGAUAUGACAUAGAACACCAAUUGCGAAGGCAGCUCACUACGGGAUUAUUGACACUGAGGCACGAAAGCGUGGGGAUCAAACAGG
rnacentral:rRNA from 1 species